rnacentral:rRNA from 1 species
UACGUAGGGGGCAAGCGUUGUCCGGAUUUAUUGGGCGUAAAGAGCUUGUAGGCGGUCUGUCGCGUCUGCUGUGAAAAUCCGGGGCUCAACCCCGGACUGCAGUGGGUACGGGCAGACUAGAGUGUGGUAGGGGAGACUGGAAUUCCUGGUGUAGCGGUGAAAUGCGCAGAUAAUCAGGAGGAACACCGGUGGCGAAGGCGGAUCUCUGGGCCAUUACUGACGCUGAGGAGCGAAAGCGUGGGGAGCGAACAGG